UAAAUUUGAUAGUAUCUCAAUGGGCGUGCUGACAAAACUUGUAAUGUCUGCUAAAAGUACAACCUGCUUGAUUUACCCUAUACCAACAAAACUGUUUAAGGACCUGUGGCCCACUCUUGGACCUAUUGUUGGAAAUUAUGAAUCUCACAGAUCCGAAGAGCACA